GAUGAACGCUGGCGGCGUGCCUAAUACAUGCAAGUCGAGCGAACGGACGAGAAGCUUGCUUCUCUGAUGUUAGCGGCGGACGGGUGAGUAAACGUGGAUAACCUACCUAUAAGACUGGGAUAACUUCGGGAAACCGGAGCUAAUACCGGAUAAUAUUUUGAACCGCAUGGUUCAAAAGUGAAAGACGGUCUUGCUGUCACUUAUAGAUGGAUCCGCGCUGCAUUAGCUAGUUGGUAAGGUAACGGCUUACCAAGGCAACGAUGCAUAGCCGACCUGAGAGGGUGAUCGGCCACACUGGAACUGAGACACGGUCCAGACUCCUACGGGAGGCAGCAGUAGGGAAUCUUCCGCAAUGGGCGAAAGCCUGACGGAGCAACGCCGCGUGAGUGAUGAAGGUCUUCGGAUCGUAAAACUCUGUUAUUAGGGAAGAACAUAUGUGUAAGUAACUGUGCACAUCUUGACGGUACCUAAUCAGAAAGCCACGGCUAACUACGUGCCAGCAGCCGCGGUAAUACGUAGGUGGCAAGCGUUAUCCGGAAUUAUUGGGCGUAAAGCGCGCGUAGGCGGUUUUUUAAGUCUGAUGUGAAAGCCCACGGCUCAACCGUGGAGGGUCAUUGGAAACUGGAAAACUUGAGUGCAGAAGAGGAAAGUGGAAUUCCAUGUGUAGCGGUGAAAUGCGCAGAGAUAUGGAGGAACACCAGUGGCGAAGGCGACUUUCUGGUCUGUAACUGACGCUGAUGUGCGAAAGCGUGGGGAUCAAACAGGAUUAGAUACCCUGGUAGUCCACGCCGUAAACGAUGAGUGCUAAGUGUUAGGGGGUUUCCGCCCCUUAGUGCUGCAGCUAACGCAUUAAGCACUCCGCCUGGGGAGUACGACCGCAAGGUUGAAACUCAAAGGAAUUGACGGGGACCCGCACAAGCGGUGGAGCAUGUGGUUUAAUUCGAAGCAACGCGAAGAACCUUACCAAAUCUUGACAUCCUUUGACAACUCUAGAGAUAGAGCUUUCCCCUUCGGGGGACAAAGUGACAGGUGGUGCAUGGUUGUCGUCAGCUCGUGUCGUGAGAUGUUGGGUUAAGUCCCGCAACGAGCGCAACCCUUAAGCUUAGUUGCCAUCAUUAAGUUGGGCACUCUAAGUUGACUGCCGGUGACAAACCGGAGGAAGGUGGGGAUGACGUCAAAUCAUCAUGCCCCUUAUGAUUUGGGCUACACACGUGCUACAAUGGACAAUACAAAGGGCAGCGAAACCGCGAGGUCAAGCAAAUCCCAUAAAGUUGUUCUCAGUUCGGAUUGUAGUCUGCAACUCGACUACAUGAAGCUGGAAUCGCUAGUAAUCGUAGAUCAGCAUGCUACGGUGAAUACGUUCCCGGGUCU
rnacentral:rRNA from 1 species